rnacentral:sRNA from 1 species
AGCAGCCGCGGUAAUUCCAGCUCCAAUAGCGUAUAUUAAAGUUGUUGCAGUUAAAAAGCUCGUAGUUGAAUUUCGGGAUUGGCGCAUCGGUCGUGCCUCACGGGGUAUGAACUGGUGCAGUCAAUUUCUCACCUUCUGGAGAACCGCGAUGUCCUUAAUUGGAUGCCGCGGGGAACCAGGACCUUUACUUUGAAAAAAUUAGAGUGUUUAAAGCAGGCAUUUUUGCUUGAAUACAUUAGCAUGGAAUAAUAAAAUAGGACGGCAUGGUUCUAUUUUGUUGGUUUCUAGGACCACCGUAAUGAUUAAUAGGGAUAGUUGGGGGCAUUAGUAUUCAAUUGUCAGAGGUGAAAUUCUUGGAUUUAUUGAAGACUAACUACUGCGAAAGCAUUUGCCAAGGAUGUUUUCAUUAAUCAAGAACGAAAGUUAGGGGAUCGAAGACGAUCAGAUACCGUCGUAGUCUUAACCAUAAACUAUGCCGACUAGGAAUCAGACGAUGUUAAUUUUUAAUGUACUCGUUUGG